GACGAACGCUGGCGGCGCUCCUAACACAUGCAAGUCGAACGAGCGAGAGAGAGCUUGCCUUCUCAAGCGAGUGGCGAACGGGUGAGUAACGCGUGAGGAACCUGCCUCAAAGAGGGGGACAACAGUUGGAAACGACUGCUAAUACCGCAUAAGCCCACAGCUCGGCAUCGAGCAGAGGGAAAAGGAGUGAUCCGCUUUGAGAUGGCCUCGCGUCCGAUUAGCUAGUUGGUGAGGUAACGGCCCACCAAGGCGACGAUCGGUAGCCGGACUGAGAGGUUGAACGGCCACAUUGGGACUGAGACACGGCCCAGACUCCUACGGGAGGCAGCAGUGGGGAAUAUUGCACAAUGGGGGAAACCCUGAUGCAGCGACGCCGCGUGGAGGAAGAAGGUCUUCGGAUUGUAAACUCCUGUUGUUGAGGAAGAUAAUGACGGUACUCAACAAGGAAGUGACGGCUAACUACGUGCCAGCAGCCGCGGUAAAACGUAGGUCACAAGCGUUGUCCGGAAUUACUGGGUGUAAAGGGAGCGCAGGCGGGAAAGCAAGUUGGAAGUGAAAUCCAUGGGCUCAACCCAUGAACUGCUUUCAAAACUGUUUUUCUUGAGUAGUGCAGAGGUAGGCGGAAUUCCCGGUGUAGCGGUGGAAUGCGUAGAUAUCGGGAGGGACACCAGUGGCGAAGGCGGCCUACUGGGCACUAACUGACGCUGAGGCUCGAAAGCAUGGGUAGCANACAGG
rnacentral:rRNA from 1 species